rnacentral:rRNA from 1 species
UACGAAGGGAGCUAGCGUUGUUCGGAAUCACUGGGCGUAAAGCGCACGUAGGCGGACGUGUCAGUCAGGGGUGAAAUCCCGGAGCUCAACUUCGGAACUGCCUUUGAUACAGCACGUCUUGAGUCCGGAAGAGGUGGGUGGAAUUCCUAGUGUAGAGGUGAAAUUCGUAGAUAUUAGGAAGAACACCGGUGGCGAAGGCGGCACUCUGGGCCGAUUCUGACACUGAGGAGCGAAAGCGUGGGGAGCGAACAGG